AUCCCUGCCCGGCGCUGCCCGCCCAGUUCCUGUUCCCAGACUGAGGCCCAGCCCCCUUCGCCCGUUUCCAUCACGAGUGCCGCCAGCAUGUCUGACAAACUGCCCUACAAAGUCGCCGACAUCGGCCUGGCUGCCUGGGGACGCAAGGCCCUGGACAUUGCUGAGAACGAGAUGCCGGGCUUGAUGCGUAUGCGGGAGCGGUACUCGGCCUCCAAGCCACUGAAGGGCGCCCGCAUCGCUGGCUGCCUGCACAUGACCGUGGAGACGGCCGUCCUCAUUGAGACCCUCGUCACCCUGGGUGCUGAGGUGAGGCCCACAGCUGUAUCACCCCAGAGUCCUUGCCCUCCCUGGGUUCAGCCAGGGAAGAAGACGACUGUGCCAGGGUGGGGACCUUCCAAGUGUGGAGCUGACCGCGGGCCUGGAGGGGCUCCUCCCUCUCACUCGGUUUCCUCCGUUUCCCAGUGCUGCCACCCCUUGUGGUGCAGUGGUCCAGCUGCAACAUCUUCUCCACCCAGGACCAUGCGGCGGCUGCCAUUGCCAAGGCUGGCAUUCCGGGUAAGUCCUGCUUGCUUCUGAGACAUGUGGAAUUUGUGAAGGGAUUCUGCCCUCUUUGCUUCACUGACUGCUAGAGCAACAGACUUCCUUACAUAUCAGAAAGGGAGAGGAGUCACCGCCACAAAAUCCUAGCCCAGCGACUCCACAGGAAAGAGCUGCUUUGUCCCAUCAUCAUCUAAAAUCCUGUGGAAGUUGUUUAUUGACCCAGGUCAAGCCGUGUAACCAGGAAGAGCAAGAUCUUAUGAUUGGGAACUACAUGAUGAAGCGGAGGGGAAGUUCAUUAAAGGAAGGAUGUGGAUCUCUUUCCAAAGAACUGGGGAGGGCUACGGGACAGAAAAAGAGGUUCACUGCCUAGGGUAUGGCGGUCUAAAGGACUGAGGAAGGACCAAGACUAACGAGAAUGGAGUUUUCACAGGCUGGGCACAUGUCUGCUUGGACUUGGGGAGGGGAGUGGUUAGAUCUGACCCAGUGAUUAGGACAUUCAAGAUUGCUUCUAACCAACCACAGGUGGACAGGAGGGGGUGGCACAGCACUCCUUCACAGACUGACCAGGACUGAAUGGGCAUGAUCCCCAUUCCUCAGCCUUGGCACCGUGGCUUUCUUCUUUUUUUUUUC
rnacentral:sRNA from 1 species